rnacentral:rRNA from 1 species
UACGGAGGGUGCAAGCGUUAUCCGGAUUCACUGGGUUUAAAGGGUGCGUAGGUGGGCAGGUAAGUCAGUGGUGAAAUCUCCGGGCUUAACUCGGAAACUGCCAUUGAUACUAUCUUUCUUGAAUACCGUGGAGGUCAGCGGAAUAUGUCAUGUAGCGGUGAAAUGCUUAGAUAUGACAUAGAACACCAAUUGCGAAGGCAGCUGGCUACACGAAUAUUGACACUGAUGCACGAAAGCGUGGGAUCAAACAGG